UUGAAAGGGAAACGAUUGAAGUCAGUCGUACCGACGAGAAAUCAGCUUAUCGUGUGUUAACUUGUGGGCGUGCGUGAGUUUCGGCCUCGCUGUUUGCAUGUUUGUGCGCUUUGGGUGUACUUUUUCGUAUGGUUGGCCAACAUCAGUUUCGAUUACUAUAAAAUGACUGGCGGAAUGUAGCUUCGAUUUCGGUUGAAGUGUUAUAGCCUCUGGUAGAUGUGGUGAUUGAGACUGAGGAUUGCAACGAAUAUCCUUUGGGCUAUCCGUCUGGCCUCUGAAAGUUGCUUGGGUGCUGAAAGCUUGCUUAUGGUUAUCUAAGUUAACGGUCAAUAGGUUAGAACGUGAUUACAUUCGUUAAGGAUGUUGACGUA
rnacentral:rRNA from 2 species